CGUUGCUUUUAAAAUAACGAUUUAUUUUUGACAUUUCCUUAGUUUAUUUCACAAUGCUGUUCCGGGUGCAGGAAUCAGACACUGAAAAGGAUAAGACAUAGCAUUUCGCGAAGAUAACACCCAAAUUUGCGAAAUAAAUCGAAAAUUGGCACGAUCGGACAAAUUAGUACGAGAUUUUUGAAAGAUUUACAGCCUCAUUCCGUUUAACAAUAUCGUGUCCAAAACGAUUGUCGUUCGUGUGUUCGUAGCAUUAUUAGCAAUGCGAUAAGCAAAACGAUAUCCAAAGCGAUAACAGCUGACUCUUACGUGUCAGCGUGUAAUAAGCAAUCUCUAUCACGAACAGCUGCCGCGGAAGCGAAAACAAAUUGUCAAAAAUAAACAAAAGGUUAGCUUCCUCAUUUUGGUGGGGAAUAUGGAGAAUACAAACAAAAAUAUGCAAAAAAAAGACCACGAGCACCCAAUUUCAAAUGUUUGUAAACGAACUGGAGGCGAAUGUAGAACUCGCGAGAGGAGCACCUGUAUAUGGAGCAAACAAGACGACGUUUGAAGAGCAGUGGCGCAAAAUCGCUGAAAAGGUGAAUUCGACCGGUCCAUAUAUUAGAUAUUUGUCGACCUCAAAUGCCGCACAAAAAAAAACUUGCAGAAAAUGCUCAAAAUAUAAGUGCUAAAGGCGGCGGUGCUUUCCGGCAGUCUCCGUUCACCGAAGUGGAAGAAGCUAUCGACCGCAUACUUGCUAUGGCCAAGGGAGCAGCUCCAAGCGGGAUUAUACUUGGUGUGUCAACUGCCUCAUCCACAACAUUAUUGACAUCAGCAGCAACAAAUAAUACUAUUCAAACAGCAAGUCCAGAAACAAAUGCAAUAAGAGCUGUAGAAAGUGCAACACCGUCAAUGACAUCAUCGACACCAGCAGCAACAACUAUUUAAACAGCAUGUCCAGA